rnacentral:tRNA from 1 species
AAUCAAUAAGUUUUAGGUAAACUUGUACUUUGAAAGUACAGAACGAAAGUUAAAUUCUUUCAUUGAUUU